AGAGUUUGAUCCUGGCUCAGGAUGAACGCUAGCGGCAGGCUUAACACAUGCAAGUCGAGGGGUAACAUUGGUGCUUGCACCAGAUGACGACCGGCGCACGGGUGCGUAACGCGUAUACAAUUUACCUUGUACAGGAGGAUAGUCAGGAGAAAUCUUGAAUAAUACUCCAUAGUAUCAUAAAGCGGCAUCGCUUAGUGAUUAAAGCUCCGGCGGUACAAGAUGAGUAUGCGUCCUAUUAGUUAGUUGGUAAGGUAACGGCUUACCAAGACAUCGAUAGGUAGGGGUCCUGAGAGGGAGAUCCCCCACACUGGUACUGAGACACGGACCAGACUCCUACGGGAGGCAGCAGUGAGGAAUAUUGGGCAAUGGAGGCAACUCUGACCCAGCCAUGCCGCGUGCAGGAAGACUGCCCUAUGGGUUGUAAACUGCUUUUAUAUGGGAAGAAAUGCACCUACGUGUAGGUGUUUGACGGUACCAUAUGAAUAAGCACCGGCUAACUCCGUGCCAGCAGCCGCGGUAAUACGGAGGGUGCGAGCGUUAAUCGGAAUUACUGGGCGUAAAGCGUACGUAGG
rnacentral:rRNA from 1 species